GGGGGCCCAGCAAGUGGGCACCCGGCGAACGGGUGCGUAACACGUGAGCAACCUACCGAACUCUAGGGGAUAGCCGGCCUAACGGCCGAGUAAUACCGCAUACGCUCUCAGUGAGGCAUUUCAUUGAGAGGAAACCUACGGGACAGAUCGAGGGGCUCGCGGCCUAUCAGCUAGUUGGUGAGGUAACGGCUCACCAAGGCAACGACGGGUAGCUGGUCUGAGAGGAUGCCCAACCACAUUGGGACUGAGAUACGGCCCAGACUCCUACGGGAGGCAGCAGUGGGGAAUCUUGCGCAAUGGCUUAACGACUGCCGCAGCGCCUCCGCGUGUGGGAUGAAGCUCUUCGGA
rnacentral:rRNA from 1 species